AUGACAGGAUCCAGAGUCAAUUCAUGGGCUUUGUCGAUCGCGGGAGACGUGCCACCACCUUUGCAAAUACCACAACCGUCACGAGAGGUGCACAAACAUCCAAAUGCACAUGAUCAGGUUAAUGUAUCUAUACCACCAUUUAAUGGCCGUUUUAAACCUGCUUUAUAUAUUGAAUGGGAGUUCGACAUAAAAAAUAUAUUUGCUUCCCAUAAUUUCGAUGAACAUGAAAAGGUUAAGGUUGCGGUUGAUUCUUUCACUGGUUAUGCUUUGGUUUGGUGGAGUGAAUAUUGUCGGUUACACCCUGAUUAUAUACCUACUACUUGGGAUGAUUUGAAACUUGCCAUGCGACAUACUUUCGUCCCUGCUUAUUAUACUCGUGACAUGAUUAAGAAGUUGCAACACUUAAAACAAGGUAGUGAAACUGUAACAAAAUAUUAUGAUGAUUUACAAACUACCUUGUUGCAUUCCUCUUUAGAAGAAAGUGAAGAUGAUUUUAUGGAUAGAUUUUGGGGAGGAUUAAACUGUGAUAUUCAAGAGAUACUAAUUCAUGAAGAGUGUUAUCCUAUGGACCAUUUGUUUCAUCUUGCUUGCAAAGCUGAACAGGAAAUAAAACGACAUGUUGGCCACGAGGAGAACAAGCGCACGGUGCACAUUCCAAGAGUUGAUAUGAUUGUUCCUUCAACUACUAGGCAUACUAUGACAACCACAUCCGUUGUUGUCAGGACUACAUCACCUCCACCAUGUGACACAUCGCCCCCGAGAGUGGCUACAUCAUCUGAGUUGAUCAUAAGAGGUAAUGACAAAGGUACUGAUCUUCCAUCUCUACAUGAGAAUGAUGAAUGCCUUGUCAAUUUGAAUGCACCAUCUGAUGAGCUAGCCACUACUUUGAUCACACCACCUAUUUUAGAGGACUACGUUGAUAAUUUGACUUUGCCAUGUGAUCAAACAACUGAAAUACCAACAAUUUUGAGUGCACCCAUUGAAUUAACUAUUGAUGCAAAAGAACCAAUGUUUAAUCAUUUUGAUAUGACCUCUAAUCUUGGUGAUGAUUCUGUGUUGAAUGACUUAUUGCAUGUUUGCUUAUUUAAGCAUGUUGUAGCAUGUAAAUUUGAUGCAAGUAAGGUUUAUUCACCAAUGUUGGGAUGGUUUAAUGAUGAACAUUGUCAAUCUUUUGAAAUGAAUAAGAGCUUCACUUAUAUGUGCAAACUGAGUUGCAAUAUUUUCAUGCCUUCUACUUCUUGUGCUAAUUUUUUGGCUUUAGAUUUUAUGAACUAUGCAAGUUACUCAUCUAUUCAUGUGUCAUAUAUGCAAAAAUCAAGGGAAGUAAAAAUGGAUGACAUAUACAUAUACAACAUGUACACCUUGUCUCUUUUGUUAGCCACAUUUCAGAUUAACCAACGCCGAGGACGGCUUUAUUUUCAAGAAGGCGAGGAUGAUGAGGACAUGACUACCUUGGAUAUGACCAAAAAUAUUGCAUAUAUGCAUAUUUGUCAGGUGAUUUCUAGUGCAAACUAUUCAAUAAUCUAUUUAUGUUAUCCAGAACAAAAAUACUUCACACACUUUUGUGUUUUGUCUAAUUGCAGGUGCACGGGACAUUUGUACAAUCCACAUAUGAAGAUAAGGAAGAAAGAGAUGUUUAUUUGCUGUCCAAAAAGUUCUCUCACGUCACUUUUGGCCCAAGAGAAGAUAGAGUCCAAGUCUCUCACGUUCUGGAUUCAGAUUCGGACUGCACAGACACACCUGACUCAAAACGGACACAAGUUUUUCAUACGGACUCCGAAUUGGGUGAUUCUUUUUUUAUUGGAAACUAGAUUUCGUGCACUUUCCAACCCAAUUGGAAUCACCUUCAAAUUCGUCCGGAGCGUUGAGUUGUGGACGAAACAAUCUGAUGCUGCAGCAGAAUCCGAGUCAAACUACAAGUCCAAAGGUGUUACAUCACCUCCACUUGGGCCCAUUGGCCUUGUACGACCUAGAUUUAGUUUUAGGCUGCCUUGGGACAUCCUCCCACCUCCUUGGCCGCCACCCCUUGCUCCUAUAUAA
rnacentral:rRNA from 1 species